rnacentral:rRNA from 1 species
GAUGAACGCUGGCGGCGUGCCUAAUACAUGAAAGUCGAGCGAACAGACGAGGAGCUUGCUCCUCUGCCGUUAGCGGCGGACGGGGGAUUACCACGUGGAUAACCUCCCUAUAAGACUGGGAUAACUUCGGGAAACCGGAGCUAAUACCGGAUAAUAUAUUGAACCGCAUGGUUCAAUAGUGAAAGACGGUUUUGCUGUAACUUAUAGAUGGAUCCGCGCCGCAUUAGCUAGUUGGUAAGGUAACGGCUUACCAAGGCAACGAUGCGUAGCCGACCUGAGAGGGUGAUCGGCCACACUGGAAAUGAGACACGGUCCAGACUCCUACGGGAGGCAGCAGUAGGGAAUCUUCCGCAAUGGGCGAAAGCCUGACGGAGCAACGCCGCGUGAGUGAUGAAGGUCAUCGGAUCGUAAAACUCUGUUAUUAGGGAAGAACAAAUGUGUAAGUAACUAUGCACGUCUUGACGGUACCUAAUCAGAAAGCCACGGCUAACUACG